UUUGUGAUCUCAACCAAGGAGAUUACGAGGUCCUUGAACACAACAAAGUCUUUAGCUCACUUGAGGGGUCAAGCAAUUGAAGAGCCAAACGAUGAAUCCUUCUUAAAGGCAGGUGUGUCCAUGGUGGGUGUGAUUUGAAGUUGAAGUUGAGAAUCUUUGGUGUGGGGCUCAUCUUCUCCAGGCUCGAAGAGGUUCUUUCUUUUCCUUUCUCUCCUUCGAUUCUAGUUGCUCAAAGUAAAGGAUUGGUGGCACUGAGCGUGAGAAGAGAGACUUGUCUCAGGUUGGAACGACAUCGAGUGUGAUUUGAAUGACAUUGGGCAUGAGAACACUAGAAGGUCUAUUACUUUGUGGCAUAGGACCCUAGUUGGGUGGCACCAAGCGUGACCAAGGCAGAGACUCUUUCCUUAGAUAUGCUAAGCACCACUGAAUUGAUGUCGGAUGUGAGUAAGGUAGAGGCUUUUUGCCUGAUACAAGGUCAAACAUAGGUUUUUCCAUGUUAAGUGAGAGGUCCCAAGGGUUCCCUAUCUCAUUCAUGUCGAGUGAGGGUCGAGUGAUGCUAAGCAUGGACGAGGUAGAGAGUUCCCUACCUUGAUGGCACCAAGUGUGAGGUAUGUUGUGUCGAGCGUGAGAUGCUCAAUGGAAGACUGGUGUUUUGUAGUACAAUCUAAUGAACAAGUAGAUUUUUAAGUUUUAUUACAUGUUGAAUGGUGUAUGAUAGUUGUUCUAUAUAUGUUGAUUAGAUAUGACAUUUGUAGAUGGUUGUAUGAC